rnacentral:rRNA from 1 species
CGUGAGAAACCCAAAAGAUCGAAUGAGGAGAUUCAUCGUCAAUAUAUUUAAUAUAUAUAUAAGUUAUGAUGUAAAUUAUUUUUCUCUUUAUGGGUUAUUUAAUAUAUACAUACUUGUAUUAUUUUAUUGUUAAAUAUUAUCGACGUGCACUUCUCCUCUAGUAGGACGUUGCGACCCGUUGGGUGUCGGUCUAUGGCCUUAUUAAGUAGCCUUUAAUUUCUUAAAAAAAUUAAAGAUUAAUUUGUGUUUCCUGACCGACUGCCCGGCGGUAUUCAUAUGAUAAUGAGUCGCAUUUUAUUAUGCGUUCAUACCCAUCGCAAGCGAGGCCAGUUUAUUAUCCUGGUAGUUACGGACUUAGUGCCGUCGCUGGGCCUGGCCAGCUG